GGUCCUCUCAAGGAUGAGACUGAGGCCUCCGAGGAUGCGGUGCUGCCUCUGAGGGAAGGGAUGUUGGAUACUGUGAAGCCAUAGAGGCGUGUCACCCCUGGGAACACAUAGGCCAGGAUACGCCGGUCAAGCUGGAACGCGAUCUCCCCAACGAUGCGGCCAUCCUUCUCCGCACCCGCAAAACUCUGGAUUUCUGGGUGAGAUAGGUGCCAUCCUGACCAUUUCAGGGUACCAAGGUACCUUUGCCCCCCAUUGCCAGAGUAAAUAAAAGUCUUUAAAGCUAAGAUGUUUGGAGCCAGAGAGGGGACUAUCUCCUCUUUCAGUCUCUGUCUCUCUCUCUCUCUCUGUCUCUCUGUCUCUCUCUGUCUCUCUCUGUCUCUCUCUCUCUCUCUCUCAUUCUCUGUUCUCUGCAUGUUUCCUGGGAUUGGACCUGAGUACGUGGUUCCAUUCUCUGCCUGAGAUUGCAAUGUGGACCUGAACACAGUGGGGUCCCUGGGAAGGAUAGCGUCAGGGUCUCUGGGUCUAUCCAGGUAGAAUGGGGUGCUCCCUGUUGUUCUCAGAUGCUAUUCUGUUACCCCACCAACUCAGCCUUGUCUGAGGACCGUAGAGCAUCACAGCCUGGCUCUGGAAAGGGCCAGAUUCUAGGGGUCCACAAACAUCGCCCUCAAAGACUGGCUGGUGUCUAAAGUUCAGUAUCAACCCAAUCUUGCCUAUGUCUGUGGAGAGGAUAAUGGGCAGAUAGAAGAUUCUUUUCUUGGAACACUUGGAUGGCUGACUCUUCACCCUGGCAUCCCCUCCCCCCACAAAAAACAGCCCCCUAAUAACCCCUCUACCUGCAGCAGCCUCUGGUGUCAUAGAAAUCAUUAUUAAAAAAUGUAGUAUAUA